rnacentral:rRNA from 1 species
GACGCGGGCUGGACCUCUCGGGGUUACAGCCUUGCUGAAUUAUUCACCCUUGUCUUUUGCGUACUUCUUGUUUCCUUGGUGGGUUCGCCCACCACUAGGACAAACAUAAACCUUUUGUAAUUGCAAUCAGCGUCAGUAACAAAUUAAUAAUUACAACUUUCAACAACGGAUCUCUUGGUUCUGGCAUCGAUGAAGAACGCAGCGAAAUGCGAUAAGUAGUGUGAAUUGCAGAAUUCAGUGAAUCAUCGAAUCUUUGAACGCACAUUGCGCCCUUUGGUAUUCCAAAGGGCAUGCCUGUUCGAGCGUCAUUUGUACCCUCAAGCUUUGCUUGGUGUUGGGCGUCUUGUCUCUAGCUUUGCUGGAGACUCGCCUUAAAGUAAUUGGCAGCCGGCCUACUGGUUUCGGAGCGCAGCACAAGUCGCACUCUCUAUCAGCAAAGGUCUAGCAUCCAUUAAGCCUUUUUUUCAACUUUUGACCUCGGAUCAGGUAGGGAUACCCGCUGAACUUAAGCAUAUCU